GAUAUUUCCUUAUAGCUUCAUUGUUCUCCAACUCAGGCCUUCGACACAACUUCUUCAUGUCUUCUCUUGCCUUCUCAUUAUCUUUAGUUUUUCUCUCAAUAUUCAGAACAAUGUUAAAAACAUUUUAAAACGCAUUCUUCUCAAUUUGCAUCACAUCUAGGUUAUAUCUAAUGAGAUUGGAACUCUAGUAUGGCAAAUCUCAAAAGAUACUUCUUUUCUUCUAACUGCACUCCUUGCAAAUAGGACCAUUAAUCUCUUUAGCAUCAAGUUUAUUUACUCUCCUAAGUCCUAAAUCAUCUAUCUCUUGCAAGAUUUGAUCAUUUGUCCUUAUAGAUAGUGCCGGUGAUAUCUCCUUUCUAUUUAUUAGGAACCAAUUUUUAUUCCAUCUGAAAGGAAGAUCAAGGGGAAGAAACUUAUGAUGAUUGUCAAACCAAGAUGUCUUUCAACCAUUUUUUCAAACUGAAUGCUUGCGAAUGUUCUAUACAGUAAGGACAAGCAAGUUCCCAACCGUGCUGCAGCCUGACAACAUUGUUUAUGCAGGAAAAUCAUUGAUGGUCCACAUAAGAGCUGCUCUCAUUUGAAAAUUCUGCUAUCUAGACACAUCGCAUGUUUGGACACUCACAUCCCAAAGAUACUUCAAUUUAUCAAUCAAAUAUGGAAGAAAACAUUUAUCUGGUUUUUAGGAUUAGUUGGCCCAUGAAUAAUUAGAGAUAAGAACAUGUACGCCUCCUUCAUACAUACCACGAAGGUAAAUUCAUGGCUAAUCUUACCAUCAGCAUUAAGCCUAGUGUGCAUCUAUUACUGAUCAAAAUUCAUGUUAUUUUCCUGUGUAAAUUACAUUACAUCUCACAUUAAAUUUUAUAUGUAUUCAUUGCAACCUUUAAUUUUUUUUCUAAAAAUCUACCGAAAUUUCGGCAGAAUUUCUCCUAUAAAAGUAAGAUACACUCGUAAAACGAGUCCAUUUCCUACUUUAAAAAUAAUUGGGCAUAACCAACAGAAUUACAACAAUAAUUAUUUACUAACAUCAUAAAUAUUUAAAAUAACAUAUACUUACAAAACUAGACGAUUAAAAACACAUAAAUCCAACACAAGAAUACAAAAUCUAUUAUAAACAUACAUAUAUAUAUAUAUUCGAUUUAAUUAAAAUCACACUAUACUCAAAUUAGUUUUAUUUUUUCAAUUUGGGUGAGAUACUUUCAACAUUAGCUGGUAUAUUUUAGGCAGAAAUCAAGGGCUUAUUUAUACUUUUUAGAUAUUUAAAAUUAUUAUGAGAUUCUUAAAAGGCAAAAUCUGCAAAAUGACUAUAAUAUUGGUCUUGAUAGUAAGAUUGGAUCUUUAUGUUUCUUUAGGAAUAUUUAUAAUGACCUUAAACUAUUUUAGAAAGAUAGCUCUUAAACUCUCUCAUUUAUAUUUGACUAUUAAGUCAAAUAAUUGAAAGCAUAAGGCGAUAAGUACUUGUUAAGAGUUUCUUUUAAAAGGACACAAAUAAGAAAACUUAUAUUUGUUCUUUGAAGUGUAGAAAAAAAAAGAGAAAACAACAAGGCAGUGGUUAAGGGUAGACAACAAGCAUCAGAACCUAGAAAAAUAAAGAACAUAUACUUAAAAAAUUGAAAGGCAAUAAAUAAAAUUAUUUGUUUACACCAAUUACUAAAUAACAUUUUUAUGCAUUUAGUGUACAAAAUUAAAAAUUCAAAAAAAAUGAAAAAAAAACAUUAACCUGCUGUUGAUAGGGUUGGUAUUUGGUAAACCUAUCAUUAACAAUAUAAACAUGCUUACCAACAUAAGUAAUUAAGUUUCACCGAUCAUCCAAUACAAUCUAUGAGUCAAAGAGGAUCAACCAAAAAACAUAUCUCAACAGAUUAACAAAAAAAAAAAAGAAGAAAUUAAGCUAAAAUGAAGAAACUUGAUUAUAAUAAUAUCUACCAAUAAUCAAUAAGGUUGCAAAUUACUUGCCCAUAUCAUCAGUUUCUAAAGACUCAUUAACACAAUGAUUAAAAAAGAAAGAAAGAAAAGUAGCCCAAUGUAUAUUUCUUGCCUCCCUACUGAUAAUGAUAAUAAUAAUAACAACAACAACAAUAAUAAUAAUAAUAAUAAUAAUAAUAAUAACAUUUAAGAAAUUUAUUGCUCG
rnacentral:lncRNA from 1 species